rnacentral:rRNA from 1 species
CUGUUUAGCCGAGGAGGGAUCUUUACCGAGUUACACUCCCAAACCCAAUGUGAACGUUACCAAACUGUUGCCUCGGCAGUUCUCUGCCCCGGGUGCGUCGCAGCCCCGGACCAUGCGCCCGCCGGAGGACACCUAAAACUCUUAUCGAUACCUCUCGCGGGUUUUCUAUAAUUGAGCCUUUCGGCGCCUUCGAGGCGUUUCGAAAACUAUCAUACUCCAAAACGGAUCUCUCGGUUUGGCAUCGAUGAAGUCGCAGCGAAGUGCGAAUGUAACUGAACCGAGCAUUAGUGUUUCAUCGAAUUUUUGAACGCACAUCGACUCGCCAGUAUUUGGCGGGCUGCCUGUCCGCGCGUCACCAAACUCUGAAUUUUCCGAAAAUCGGCGUUGAAGAUGGCUUUUUUUAGCGAUGGCCUCUCGAAAACAGUGGCGGUCUGCCGCAGCUUUUCUGCGCAGUAGUUUGCACACUCGCAUCGGGAGCGCGGCGCGUCCACAGCCGUUAACACCCAACUUCUGGAUGGUGACCUCGGUAUAGGUAGGGAUACCCGCUAAAUUAUCCU